ensembl:lncRNA
CAUGGUUCUAAGCCUAAUCCUCUCUGGUCCUGCCAUAUCCUUGGGGUUGGGAAGAUUCAGAAGUACAGUAUCCCUAAACACAUCAAAGGAUUUCCUUUGUUUAAUCAAUAUCAUCUAUUACACUUUGGGUAUGAAAGUUCAAGCCAGUGACAGAUGAACGCAGGCAAUAGAUUAAGCAAUCCUGCAGUGCUGUGAAUACCGGUAGGGUCCUGGAACACCAUGGAUGUCAUCAAUAGGUCAUAGAUCCCUGCGGAGGCCUUAGUGAUAACUGGUAUCAUACCAACCAGGGUAUCAUACUGAGUGUUACGAAGGACAGUGAUCUGGUGAACAGAUAGUGUCUUAUUUGCUUUUGGGGGGGGUAUAUACAUUUAAUUUCUUAUCUUUACUAAUAAUUCUCUGAGAACAGUCUCAGACUCUUACUUGAUAUCAGCAAUUCUGCAAAGAGUUGAACCAUGAAACAUAAAGAGAAGAAAAAACACCAGAAGAAGAAACUCUUAAAACGACCCGUGAAAAGGGGUACAAGAGGAAAGUUGGAUUUACAAGAUGUUCUGCAGGGUAGAGCCAAGGUACUGGCCCAUACUCAAGGCCACAAAGUGGCGGAUAGUUCUUCCUCAACCUCAGGGGACUUCUCCUAUGAAGACAAAUUCUUGGAUGCAGGUAUGGAAGGGGAGUACAGAAGGGCAGCUAGGGUCUAGGAAUAUCUCAGAAUUGAGCUGAAUAGUUCUGAACAUUAGUUGAUACAAGGGUACUCAGCCAGAAAGAAACUGGAAAUAAUCAGCAGUGGAAGCAAUAGAUGUCAAAGGGAAAACACAUGAGAGGACUUCAGGAAGCCCAGGAUCAUUGGAGGACUGGGCUCUGCUCAGGAAAUAGUAGGAGAGUGCCCGGGAGGAUAAGAGCACGAUCAGAGUCACAUAGGAACACUAUGUCAGUAGGAACUAGGGAAAAGCAUGGUAGACUGUCAGGAAAGAAGAAGCCCAGAAUAAUAGGAUCCUCAAAAGAUCUUACUUAAAACACAUUAAAAAGAUAGCCAGUCCAAGAACACAGCACAUCCACUUAGCAUCCUAGCCAAUAUUCACACGUGUUCCUACACAAACCCAUCUGCAUUGCUACUUAUUUUUCUCAUUUUCUUAUAAUCUUUCACAUGCACAUGAAUUCAAUACUUUCACUUUUUGACCCUACCAUGCAAAUAGUAAUAAUUACUCUGACUUCUAGAUGACCUUAGAAUCCAGGAGCCAGUCAGGAGAUAAAUUUGUAAUCUCUAGGAAGUAAGAUGUAGACAAAGUAUGAAAUAUGUAGAAGGCGGCAAGCAAUAUGAAACAGUACCAAGUUCGAGGGGCAUAAGGCACCUUGAGGGCAGGAUCCCUGUAGAAACACAGAGGACUGAAGUGCAGCAGUUCCUGCCCAAGUAAGACAUCACUGUUCAAGACGCACUAAGUAUUCCUGGGAGAGGACGCUGGACAAGAUGGCUUUGGAGAAUAGCAGAGGGUGAGCAGAAUGGAAUCAGCUAUUUCAGGUAUAAUCUCUUGAUUACUCUGCUCCCAUUUUACAGACAAGUUCAUUCUCAAAGGCCUGAGGUGGAACAGAGGUGGAGCAGACCCUGUUGGUUCAACAACUGAAUAAAUGACCACUUUUCUCCAAAACUGCCCAGGUUCUGUUUCCAAAACUCACCAUGUUCAUUUUUCUAUCUCCCAAAAGUUUAUUUGAAAAAUGAAGGGUGAGGGGGUAAGAGGAAAACCAGCUCUGUAGAGCAAACGUGAGCCAAAAAAAGAAAAGAUAAAAAGAGCAAAAAUUAAAAAUACACCCUGGGUUUGGGAAACCCAGGGUGGGCUACUGUGAAGAGUAAAGAUAGCAAGCUCCUCCCGGUUUCUGGUCUUCCUCAUGAUGUCCAUAUCUUGUGGAGCUCAUAGGAAGUUCUACAUAUGGGGUCCAGAGAAUCAUCUGGCACUGCCCUGGAGUCUUGUAAUUUACAGGUCCCUCCCACUUCUCUAGUCAGUUUGCCACGUUCUACCACCUAUAUCAGAAGGUUAAAGAUCCAAUAGAAAUGUGGAACCACAUUUCUGAAAGAUGAAUUGGGAUCAAGUCUAUAAAGUCUUCAUUUGAAUGCUUACCUGUGCCAUGCCCAGUUCCUAGAGAACCAUCUAACAAUUUGUAUCUUUGCAUGCAGGUCCAUCUUUUAUUCAUAUUCACAUCAACCCUUCCAUGUAUAUGACUCUACAUUCACCAAAAUAAAUGAGUCAACAUUCACAAUUCCUCAUGAAACUUGUACUCCACAGCCUUCACUGGCACAAUUUAUUACCAGGAAAUUGAGCCAAUAAAAAUCGCAACAGUAAUAAUAAUAUCUAACCACUAGUGAACGUAUAUCAUAUUUUAAACAUAUUUGAGUUCCCAAUAUGCUGUAUACAUCUCUAAAAAUAUAUAGAAGAUACCCAAUCCCAGUG